UCAAAUAUUUUAUCAAUUCUUCUACAGUGUUUAAGUUUAUAAGUUUAUAGCUCGAGAAACCUAGUUUUUAUCUUCUAUAUAUGCUGCGUCAUUUAUCUUGUGUUUAUGAUUUUAAAUUGAUUGAUUUGCAGGUGUAGUUUUGUGUUUGUUGUGGGAGGGGAGUAAGAAGGGAUAAUGAUUUCUAUUCAGAAAUGGAAAUGUUCAUGGUCUUUGAUAGCAACAAUUGUGUCUGUAGUGGCACUAGUUUCGGCAGCUCCUCUGUUCUUGUUUCCUGUGCUGCCUUUUUUAGAUUGCUUCAAUGUUCGGAAUUCUAGUGUCCCGAUUAAUGGAACAGUGGAUGAAAGGAAUCAUCAUCAUGUCUUGGAAAAUUUAAAACCGGUUCUAGAUUUAGAGCCUAGGUUUCCCAGUUGACUUGCAUGGGGUAGUGGUUAAUUCAUCGGAAUGCUCCAUGGAAGGCUGAGAUUGGGCGAUGGCUUUCUGUCUGUGAUUCAGCUACUAAGGAUGUCACUGUUGUUGAGGUAAUAAUACUACGAGUAACGAUAAUUAUUAAUUUGAAUUAAGUAGUGUCUCGGAGAAGAAGAUAACGAAGACAAAUUAACAUAUAUAUUUUUUAAGUUUUAUGUUUUAAAAAUAUAAAAAUUUAUUUCAAAAUUAUUUCUUAGAUAAAUUUAUUUAUAUCUCUUUAAUUUAUUUUUUUAUUUGUCACGUAACACUGACCAAAACCAAAUGCCAAAUGUAAGUGACAUUAUUGAAAUCCUUUCGAUAUUUGCAGUCGAGGGAAAUGCUUAUUCUCUCUAGGUGGAAGAACUUGGUGAAAUUCGAUCGACUCAUGAGGCUAGAUUUAGAUCUUGACAUGCUCUUUCUUAGUUCUUAGACAGCUUAAGUUGAUGUCAAAUCCAGUUUCAGUCUGCUAGGUGUUUUUGUCAACUGUUUUGUUUGCAGACAAAAAGGGGCAGGAGCUGCAAAAAUAACUGUAGUGGUCAAGGAGUUUGUAACUAUGAACUUGGUCAAUGUCGGUGUUUUCACGGAUUUAGAGGUGAGCUAUUUUUCUAUUUUAUUUUGAUCUACAUCAAUUUUAGUGAAAAAUCUUAAAUAAAUAGCGGAAACUAGUACAGGUUGACAUCUCCCUUUGAUUAUCCCUGUUAUAAGAACCAUUAGUUUGUUCAUUCGAUGAACAUGGAAGUUGGAACUGCGGGACUGGAAAAGUCAGAUGGCUACUCGGAAAUUGAUUUUGAAAAUACAGAUGAUUAGAUUUGGCAUUGCCAACAGUGGAUGGUUUCCAGGGUCGAGAGAAGGAAGCCAUCAUUAUUUCAAUGGUUCGAUCGAACUCAAAGAAAGAGGUGGGGUUUUUGAGUGACCACAGGCGAAUGAAUGUGGCUGUGACACGGGCAAGAAGACAGUGCUGUCUUGUAUGUGACACGGAGACAGUGAGUAGUGAUGGGUUCUUAAAGCGAUUAAUUGAGCAUUUUGAGGAGCACAGGGAGUAUCUAAGUGCAUCAGAGCACCUCAAUGGAUAAGCAAAGGUUGCUAGUGAAGAGGGCUGUUUUAAACUGUCAGAGAUUAUCAAAUCGUUUACUGGAAGAUGUAACUGGGAAAGUAUUCUCACCAUCUGACAGUUGAUUGGAGAAGAUUUUACCUGUUUUUAUUCAUCUAAUUGACCAGAAACGAUUAUGCUUUGUAUUUUUUACCAGAAUUUUGAAAUAGAUUAUCAAAAUCUAGUCUAUAUUCUUUCGCUUUUUA